AGAGUUUGAUCAUGGCUCAGAACGAACGUUGGCGGCGUGGAUCAGGCAUGCAAGUCGAACGAAUCCCACCUGGGUAACUGGGUGGGGGAAGUGGCGAAAGGGGCAGUAAGGCAUGGGUAACCUGCCCCGGACUUCGGAAUAGCCUUCCUAACGGAAGGGUAAUACUGAAUACCGUGACAUGUGGGCAUCCACGAGUCACGAAAGCUUCGGCGGUCCGGGAGGGGCUCAUGUGGUAUUAUGCUGGUUGGUGGGGUAACGGCCUACCAAGGCGAAGAUGCCUAGCGGGUGUGAGAGCACGACCCGCGCCACUGGCACUGGGACACUGGCCAGACUCCUACGGGAGGCAGCAGUGGGGAAUGUUCCGCAAUGGGCGCAAGCCUGACGGAGCAACGCCGCGUGGGUGAUGAAGGCCCGUGGGUCGUAAAGCCCUUUUGUCAGGGACGAACAAGAUGACGGUACCUGACGAAUCAGCAUCGGCUAACUCCGUGCCAGCCGCCGCGGUAAUAC
rnacentral:rRNA from 1 species